GUUGGCAGAUCGAGGGCAUUUCCCACUCUGGCUUCCUCUGGCCAUGAGGCUGUUAUAUUCAUCCCAUUACAGAACCCUCUGUCAUCCAAGAUAUAGGAGCUUGAUUGCUCAUUCAGCACAGUCACCUAUACAUAUCGGAUGGACUGAGGAUUACGCAGGUGACAAGGACUACAUUCCAAAGAGAACCAUGUGAAGUCAUGGAUUUGAUUAAGAAGUAAAGAUUCCAACCUGUUUUCAGGAAACAUUGCUUUUGAUGACUGACAUCGAUGAGCUGCUGCGCUGAAGUAAGUUCUUCACUUCUCAUCCUCCGAUCUGCUUAGCUGGAUUUUUCAGGCUAUUUGUCAACAUGAGCAAACAAGGUGAAUCACUUCAUAUCCAAGAGUUGAUAAGAUUUUUGUUGGUCCUGGACCAAAGCUUCUUAACUGUCUCCUAUCCCGACCCUAACAAUAAAUCACAGCUAAAAUCAGAGGGAAAUGAAUGACUGAUAAGAAUGCUG
ensembl:lncRNA